ensembl:snRNA RNU7-171P RNA, U7 small nuclear 171 pseudogene
GAGUGUUACAGCUCUUUUAGAAUUUGUCUAGCAGGUUUUCCAAUCUUCACUGAAAAGCUUUA